UACAGAGGGGGCGGGCGUUGUUCGGAAUUACUGGGCGUAAAGGGCGCGUAGGCGGCCUUCUAAGUCGAACGUGAAAUCCCCGGGCUCAACCCGGGAACUGCGUCCGAUACUGGGAGGCUUGAAUCCGGGAGAGGGAUGUGGAAUUCCAGGUGUAGCGGUGAAAUGCGUAGAUAUCUGGAGGAACACCGGUGGCGAAGGCGGCAUCCUGGACCGGUAUUGACGCUGAGGCGCGAAAGCCAGGGGAGCAAACGGG
rnacentral:rRNA from 1 species